rnacentral:rRNA from 1 species
AUUGAACGCUGGCGGCAUGCUUUACACAUGCAAGUCGAACGGUAACAGGGUGCUUGCACCGCUGACGAGUGGCGAACGGGUGAGUAAUGCGUCGGAACGUGCCGAGUAGAGGGGGAUAACGCAGCGAAAGUUGUGCUAAUACCGCAUACGUACUGAGGUAGAAAGUGGGGGACCUUCGGGCCUCACGCUAUUCGAGCGGCCGACGUCUGAUUAGCUAGUAGGUGAGGUAAAGGCUCGCCUAGGCGACGAUCAGUAGCGGGUCUGAGAGGAUGAUCCGCCACACUGGGACUGAGACACGGCCCAGACUCCUACGGGAGGCAGCAGUGGGGAAUUUUGGACAAUGGGCGAAAGCCUGAUCCAGCCAUGCCGCGUGUCUGAAGAAGGCCUUCGGGUUGUAAAGGACUUUUGUCAGGGAGGAAAUCCCUAGCGUUAAUACCGCUGGGGGAUGACAGUACCUGAAGAAUAAGCACCGGCUAACUACGUGCCAGCAGCCGCCGCUGUAA